GAAUAUAUUGAAGACACUAAUUUCUGGUUCUUCUGCUAAUACCAUUUACUUCUUUAAAAGGCAGUUGGCAUGGUAGAUGCUGCAGGAGUUUUUCUCAUAGUUUGAAAAAUCAGUAAUGCAGACUGAAGGAGAGGAUUCCUGGCUAAAGAAUAAGGUGCCCUGAUGUUCAAAGUGUGAUCCUUAUCAGCUAUUCUGAUUCAUAUGGGACUUCAAAAGUGUCUUAGUACUUAUUCGCAAAGAGACUGAGGCUAAAGUAUAUUCUUGGCCAACUGCAGCACUGCUCUUUUUUUCUGACCCAGAUGAUAAUUUGCUGGGGGUUUUUUCUUAUCAGUUGUUUGUUCAAAAAACAGUGUCCUGAAACACUUCAUCGCCUCCCCACUAAUGAAUUCCUUUAAGCAACUAAAUAGGAAUUCGUUAGUUACAAGUGGGAUCUGCAACACAAUGUUGCAGUGUAGCUAUGAACCACCCCUAAAAAUAUCCAGCUAGCCACUAAUGAUGCUAACAGUAGUAGUCUUGGUAUUAAUUUAUUGAAAGUUCUCCCCAGGUAGGCUCACCUGGUGCCAGUUUUGACAUCAUUCUGGCACUAGGUAAAACAGUUCUGUAUUAUCUGGGAUUUGAAUGCUGGUGUUAUUGUUUUGGGGAAUUUUCAAUACGUAGAUUAUUUUGUGGUGAUUGUGAAAGAUGUUCAUUGGAUGGGGUAUGUUUCUGACAUGCUUACCAGAUGUGACUAUUUUGCUGAAUUUUUUUUCCUAUUGUGUGAUAUUUCUAUUCUUCAUUACCUUGAGAUGUUUUCGUAUAAUUUCUUUCAUAAAAAUCCAUAUAAUUAAUAUACUGUUUGGUUGUAAAAGGAACUCCUCAAAGCUGUUUACAGAAAGAUGCCAGAACUCAUAAAUUUAAUAAAUAUGAAUCUAUAUCUAGUAGUAAUUUAGGGCUAAGCUAAAAAUACCCACUGCUUUAGGCAUUUUUGGGCAGUCUUGACAUGUGCUUCCUUCAUUUGAAUUUGUUUGCCUGCAACAACAUCAGGAUUGGCUAGGUAGUGUAAUGACAUCAUCUCAUUUCUUUUACAACCCCUGAUUAGCUGGGAUGAUUUCUGCACCUUCUCUUUCCUCACUCGCAGUUGACAGUGAUUUCCCUCAGUGACAUAAUCGCUUUGCAAAAUCUGAUGAGUUAUGUGCUGAUGUCACUGUGGUGAAUAUGAUUAAUCUAGGAUGAGGAAAAAGCAUUUAAUGGAAGGGGUGGAAUUAAAGCACCAGCAGGUAAGUGAAACUGUGGAACUGAACAGGUGCAGAAUAAGCUGACCAUUCUAACAAUCAGAGGUUUGGAGAAAAUAUUCCCCUCGCCUUCUAUAAUUCCUUUUUGGGGACUGAAAAUUGAGAUUGAAAAUAUUCAGAGCAGCCUCAUUGUUACUGCUGUUCUUUAGUAAAGUAGCUUACUUGAACAAUGCAUGAAUCACAGUAUUUAGUCAUGAUUUAAAUGUGAUCCUGGACGAGCAAGAAGGAUUUAUCCAUGCAGAAUUGCAAGCAUCCAGGUGUAGAAGUUUCUUCAUGAGACUCGGAGGAUAAAAUGCAAUAUUUACAGUUGUAUACACACAUUUUUACUUCCAAGCAACCAGGAAUGCAGAAGCCCCUGCCACAUUUAUUUUACAUUUCGUGAUGUUUGCUCUCACCUCCAAAGUACUGUUUAGUAAGGUUACGUAAUCACAUGUCCACCUGCAAAUUGCAAGGAGAGGAAGUUUGCAAGGAACCAAGAGAAUGAAUAAUAUUGGGAAUAAAGCAACUUUUGAUGAAGCAUUUAAUGAUAGAAAUGCAGCCUGCGCUAUAGUAACACACUGCCUUUGGUUUUUAUGAAUAGAUGGAAUUCUUAAUGAAUAAAUACUGGCAAUGUAAGCACAAAGGUCUCCCUGUUACAAUUUAGACAAUAUGCAGUGGCCCAAGUUUGAUUGCUUCAUUUAUCUACUUCAUUUAUAUUUCAUGCUUUCUAAUAACCCAAAAUUUAGCGGGAUGGCUUACAAUAAAAAGCAUUAAAAAGGUUGUUUGUUUAUGCUAUUGUUACUAUUGAUGGUAUCAAAUGUUUGCCCCAUUCCUGCUCCCGCCCCUUGUUGGACUUUUUUAUUGGGGAGGGAGGCAGCAGAAGAUUUGCACUGCAUUAUGGGAUAGUCCAAGGGCUUCUGUUCUCUAUUGGCUGGAACACAUCAUUCUUUCAGUUUACAGAAAGCAGUAUUUUAGUUAAUGAAAACUUAAACCAUUUUUUGAGGGGAGGGGAAGAAAAUUGUGUAUGGCUAGAAGAAAGCAUCCCUCACAUUAAAAUAAAUAAAUAAAUGGAAUGCUGGUUUAGCUUUUGGCAAUGGAUCUGUAGAUCAGAUUUUCCUUCAGGCAAUACAUGAAUUCAAAAUGUAUGCCAUGUGAUUUGCACAAUUACUGAAGGGGAGGUAAAGAGCCAAUAUUGUAUGGAAACCCUCUUAUGUGGAAGUUCUUCCCCUGCCUAUGGAAGUGCAGAGAAUAACUGAUAUUUUUUUAGUGGGCAGACAAUGGCAGCCCACACACUCUUCUCACUAAAUGUUGUAGAAGCCCAGUGAUAAGAAACAGUGCAGCUCCACCAAUUCAAACAGUCACCCUGUACCACUUCUUAUGGUAAAGCUUGCAUACGGACUCCGACGAAAUCCUGGAUCCUGAACCGAAUCGGGAAAGUAUGGGUUGAUGCAGGAUUCAGCUGGAGAAGGCUGAGGCUGUGUCAGAUUGCCUCAGGUUGGAUCAGCUCCAUACAGAGUGAUUCUGGGCUUUCAAAACAGGGGUAGCCUGGCAGAAAGAAGAAUGGGGAGAAGGAGACACACGCAGGCAGCCUGCAUACAUCUUCUACUACCUGCCACCUGAUUACAUAUUUAAUUGGGGUUGAAAAUCAUCAUUAGACACUGUGCAAGGCCACUGAAUUAGUUGGAGCCUCGCCCCCAGAUCUGUGUCAGAUUGGCUCCAAAUCACCUCAGCUCAGGGCUGCUGCAAAGAGCAGAAUCUGCCCCCCAAAUCGGAGACGGGAUGUUCACAGCCGUACUGGAGAGGACAUUGGAAAGGUGAGGGGCCAUCACAGAAAAGACUCUCUUCAGUUUCCAUCUCAGAAGGCAGAGAUACCUGGAGGAGAGCCUCAAAUGAUUAUCUCAGUUAAUGAACAGACCGGAAUGAGAGAAGACCCUCCAUGUAGAGCUUUAAAGGUUAGAACCACAGAAAUGAAAUGGGAGCCACAGUAUUGUGGACUAGUGACAGCUUUUGAACUUUCUCCCAAGGCAGAACCACGUAAAGUGCUCUGCUGUAACUCUCAACUUGAAAUUUCUAAAUCAUGGGAAGCCAUGAGUCUGCUGCCUGUAUCCAGGAGGGCACCAUAGCUGGAACAUCGGCUGAUAGAAGUCACUCCAUGCCACUAAGUCUACUUUGGCCUCAUGUGACAGUGAAUCUAAAAGAAGCAGACUACAGUCCUCUGCUUAACUGGUUGAGCAAUGUGUGCACAGCUGAACCAUCCAUCACCAGCGAUCUUCUCGGGAUUACAUUUAUUGGUCCUCAUCAAGUCCAUUACUGCUCCCAAAGAGCGGUUCAGCACUUUUUCCGCCUCACCUGAUUCAGAUUGUAAAAGAUAAUCUGUAUGUCUAAAAGAUGUUUUUUGCCCAUGUUAUUUGUCUACAUAACACUUGGCACGCAAUUUGUAUCCCCAAGAACUGGUUUAUACAUUUAUUUGGAGUGGUGGGAGGCAAAAACACAUUAUACAGUUUAUAACAGCUGAUACGCUUUAAUUGGGAUACCUUUUCUUCCAGGAAAAGAUUAUGUGAUGUUUGUGAAUGACUAUUACGUUGAGGUCUUCUUUACUAAAUUUCUAUUCUGCCCUUCCACCCAAAGGAGCCUAGGAUGGCAAACAACAAGGGAUGAAACAUUAAAAACAGAUUAAGAAUGAUUCUAAUACAGAUGCAGUCUGGGAAAGAUCUGGGCAGUAGCUCUCUGAGGUUUCAGAUAAUUUCUGCCCCAACCACUGCACCCUCCCUGGGAACUUCAGAAUGCAAAGUUUGUGCUCUGCUGCUGAGCUACAGCCCUUCCCUUCAAAUCUGUC
rnacentral:lncRNA from 1 species